rnacentral:SRP_RNA from 1 species
CCAGGAGUUCUGGGCUAUAGUGCUGUAUGAUGAGGUGUCUGCACUAAGUUUGGCAUCAAUGUGGUGACCUCCCGGGAGUGGGGACUGCCAGGUUGCCUAAGGAGGGGUGAACUGACCCAGGUUGGAAACAGAUAAAAAAUUCCUGGGCUAAUCAGUAGUGGAAUUUCACCUGUUAACAGCCACUACCCUCCAGCCUGG